UCUUUUAAGAUCUGUUAUUAAUAUCUAUUUAAAACUAUUAUUAGCCGUAAAAUAUACGGACCUUAUACAUUCUUAAUUCUUAGUGAAUACUGAGAAAGAUUUCUCUCACAUAGUAUCAGCGCCCGUCUUUAUGAAUUUAUUUGGGCCCUUUGUUAUCAGUCUUCUCUGCAAUCUUGUUCGCGCCUUCUCGCUUGUCUCAUCUAUAUUACGGUAUCUCUUCUCUCUUGGUCUCUUCUUUCUCGGUCUCCCUCUAAUCUGUCUCUCUCAAGAUCUCUGUAUUUCUCUAAGCAGAUCUGAUAUAUGUUUUCUCUCUCUUUCUAUGUCUCAUAUCUCUUCUCCCUCUACUGAUCUCUCGAUCUUCUCACGCUACGUUCUCUCUCUAGAUAAACUCAUUUCUCUCUCUAGAUAAACUCAAGGCCCAAAGUCAAGCAGUAGCUUUUGGUAUCAAUAGAAACACUAUUAAUCCUCAGCAACCGAAGAGGACUUGCAAAAACUCUCCAAUCAGAGGUCGUUGAAUCGAAGAUUUGGAACUCAUCCUCUAAUGCCAAAACCAUAGCAGCUAAUUGCCGGAUCAACAAACUCUCUCUUUGCACAAAUUUACAUCAAAUCUCAAGUUUUCCAGCAAAAGCCCCUUCACCCCAAGCCCCUUUUCACUAUUCGUCACAGGCUCUGUUCUUCUUCGGCACUGUUACGAAUCUUCUUUGAUUUCCCUAAAAUCUGAUUCGAAAUUGCCCCUUUACACUCCAGCAUCUGCGGACUCUGCUGCCUCUACGAUUUGUGCAUCAGGUUUUCCCACCAUUCUUCUGUGGCUUUCUCUACAUGAGUUUUCUCUCACUAAAAGUAAAGUGAGGAUUCAUCCGCAUAUUUGUUCUGUCUCUGCAUACUAGUUUUCUCCCACGAAAAGUAAAGUGAGGUUUGCUUUGAAAAAUGAGUUGGUGUUCCAUAUUUUUUUUUGAUGGUCCACUUUGGUUAUUUGGACUUGCAUCUUUGGUGAUUAAUAUUGUUUCUUGUUCGACCCAAUAAAAAAAAAAA
rnacentral:lncRNA from 1 species